rnacentral:rRNA from 1 species
AGAGUUUGAUCCUGGCUCAGGACGAACGCUGGCGGCGCGCCUAACACAUGCAAGUCGAACGAGAGAUGAGGAGCUUGCUCUUCAGAUCGAGUGGCGAACGGGUGAGUAACGCGUGAGGAACCUGCCUCAAAGAGGGGGACAACAGUUGGAAACGACUGCUAAUACCGCAUAAGCCCACGGCUCGGCAUCGAGCAGAGGGAAAAGGAGCAAUCCGCUUUGAGAUGGCCUCGCGUCCGAUUAGCUAGUUGGUGAGGUAACGGCCCACCAAGGCGACGAUCGGUAGCCGGACUGAGAGGUUGAACGGCCACAUUGGGACUGAGACACGGCCCAGACUCCUACGGGAGGCAGCAGUGGGGAAUAUUGCACAAUGGGGGAAACCCUGAUGCAGCGACGCCGCGUGGAGGAAGAAGGUCUUCGGAUUGUAAACUCCUGUUGUUGAGGAAGAUAAUGACGGUACUCAACAAGGAAGUGACGGCUAACUACGUGCCAGCAGCCGCGGUAAAACGUAGGUCACAAGCGUUGUCCGGAAUUACUGGGUGUAAAGGGAGCGCAGGCGGGAGAACAAGUUGGAAGUGAAAUCCAUGGGCUCAACCCAUGAACUGCUUUCAAAACUGUUUUUCUUGAGUAGUGCAGAGGUAGGCGGAAUUCCCGGUGUAGCGGUGGAAUGCGUAGAUAUCGGGAGGAACACCAGUGGCGAAGGCGGCCUACUGGGCACCAACUGACGCUGAGGCUCGAAAGUGUGGGUAGCAAACAGGAUUAGAUACCCUGGUAGUCCACACCGUAAACGAUGAUUACUAGGUGUUGGAGGAUUGACCCCUUCAGUGCCGCAGUUAACACAAUAAGUAAUCCACCUGGGGAGUACGACCGCAAGGUUGAAACUCAAAGGAAUUGACGGGGGCCCGCA